rnacentral:lncRNA from 1 species
GCCCCAUAGCUCAAUCAAAUUGAGCCACUUAGCAAUCCAAUUGCUAAUUAAUCCUCCUAUAACUCACUAACUCUUUAACGAGUUACUUGAUUGUAACUUUUGCAUUGGAUCAAUCAUUAAUCAAAUUGAUAAUCAAAUCCUAUCACGAUUCAUAAUUGUAAUUCAACCAUCUGAUCAGUCAAAAAUUUUUUUUGUGUGUGAUCUAUAGGUUCUAUUCUGUCUGAUAGUGAGAUAUAUUGUGAUCCUUAUCACAAUAUCAUUGAAACUCUUUUCAAUAGGUUGAAACUAUUCCAACACUAUCCACCAAAGAUCAUCAAUCAUCAAGAUAAUGCUUGUGAGUCUCACAAUCCAUCAAUGACAUCUAGCAGUAUGUAGUGACAACCCAGCAGAAUAAAAGAUGAUAAACCUCUAGGUGCAGUUAACGUAUGAUACAGUCCUUCUAUCAUAAGUUCCGAUCAAAUAGCAAGUCAUGGAUAAAUCGUCAAACCUCAAUAUCGAUCAUAUGAUACGUUCAAUCAGCUCGAGUCCAUAUGUGAUUUUAUGAAAAUUCUUUUCCAUUAAUCAUAUUGCUAUGGCCAUAGAGUUAAAGACUCAACCUCCUAAAUCUCAUAGGACUACUUUCUUCUGCUAAGAUCGAUAAAUCUCAUCUUGAUGUACACUCUACUCCUACAGUGGACCAACUGUCGUCAACAUCCACUACAAUGACUCAUUGAGAUCUAUGUUGAUAUGUUAAUCAAACUCCAGCAGCCUCGCUCCGAGCAGUAGUGCCAUCUCAGGUCAAACGAUCAAUCAUACAACUACAGCAUCGAUAAAGUCACUAACAAGUGAGCAGACAUCCAUGUGACUUUUCGUGUUGGUCACGCUCAGUGCUAGUUGUUCUCUAAUAACCACCUGUCCUCUCGCUUUAGUGUCACUACAUCACAGACUCGAGACCCAUCUGUCUGAAGGAAACGAUCUGUGCACUGAUCUAUCUGGAUCAAUCACCAUCCCUAUGAUGAUCCUAUGACUAGGAUUAAUUUAGGAAUCAACCAUCAAUGACACAUGUUUCAAAUUUUCAACUCUUUGAGAAUAUGUGUCUUCAUCUUGUUAAUCCUUUGAAUGAUUCAUGGACAUAUAAACAUGAAUGAUAAUAUAAAUGCUCAAUAAGUACAAAACUAUAUCUUAAAAAUAUGAUAUAUGUCAGUCAAGAUUGACUUAUAGAACAUACAUCCAACAUUGAUCCCAAGGAAAAACUCCCAUUUGGGUGCAACCCAAGUUGCUAGUGAUCUCAAUCAAGUCUUUUUUGACCUAAUCAAGUCCAAUUCAAGUGUAUUAGGGGCU